rnacentral:rRNA from 1 species
UACGUAGGCAGCAAGCGUUGUUCGGAAUUACUGGGCGUAAAGAGUGUGUAGGCGGUGCUCCAAGUCUGGUGUGAAAUCUCCCGGCUUAACUGGGAGGGUGCAUUAGAAACUGGAAUGCUAGAGGAUGGGAGAGGUAAGCGGAAUUCCUGGUGUAGCGGUGAAAUGCGUAGAGAUCAGGAAGAACACCGGUGGCGAAAGCGUUCUGCUAGACCUGUACUGACACUGAGGGACGAAAGCUAGGGGAGCGAAUGGG